rnacentral:snoRNA from 1 species
CCUCCUUUACUUGGCAGGGACAGAGCAUGCAGUCCCGCUCCCCAUUAUGUAUGGAGGCAGAGAGAAAGAGCUCUGGCCCCUUUGGCACCAUGUCUUCGGUGCCAGCAGCUUCCUGUACGCUGGUUCUAUCCUCAAGCACCAGGAUACCA